UCUACAUGGCAUUGAACUGACCUCUCUUGAGGAUUCCCAUGGACCGGCAUUGUUUACACUCAGAGCUUCAGAUCCUGCCCAACUGUUGUCUACUGGGCCCCAGAGAUUCCCACUGCGGGACUGUCACUUCAGGUGACCGUAUGCACACCCCGCCACCCAGCCACUCAGGCCCAAGGCCACCCUCGGCAGAGAUGCGUGCACACGUUCGUCGAAGGACACACAACAACCGCAUUCAGAGGAGCGCUUUUGGCAGUGGCCUUCAGGGAGAAACAACUCAAACAUCCGUCAGUGUUGAAUCUGUAAAUGAAUUGUGACAUCUUCACACAAUGGAAUACUAUACAGCAAUAAAGACUGACCAACUGCAGACUUUCUGAGCAACACCACUGAAUCUCAUGAAUAUAAUACCGACUACAAAUAAAGCAGACAAAACAGAGUUA